CAAAAAGAAUAAAAGGUGAGUUUAAGUUUUGUGGUUUUGGUCAAUUUGGUUACUGACGGUAGGUUAUGAGUAAAAAAUGGUAAGUAAAGAGUAUUUUGAAGUUUAAUAUGAGGAUGCAAACUAAUAUUUCCUAUUUUGGUUACUUGGUUAAUAUGGCCAUUAGGUUGAUGUACUGAAAUGGGUGUGUGGAUGUCUUAGAUCAAUUCAAAAAGAUGUAAAGCAUGUGUCAUGUGAUUAGUGGCACCUGUAUCUAUUAUCCAUAUAACUUGACUAAAAUUACCAGCAAAAUUAGUUGCACUGUUGAUUGGUGAACUGCCUGUGUGUGACUGAACAGAUAAACCAACAGACAUUGGUGUCUUGCCUUUAGCCAUCCUUUUAAUCUCCUGCUACAAAGAGCUUAACAUGGUACUUAAUUCUUCAAUUCUCCCACUAUCGUUUGGAAUUUCAAUUGGAGUAUCCAAAUUGCAUUGAUUAACUGCUAUUGCAGCCACUUUGGGUCCCUGGUUCUGUUGUCUAAAAGAACCAUGCUGUAAGUUUUUGUUCCUAGAUUGCCACCAAUCUGUAUAACCUAUGAGUUUGAAGCAGCCUUCUCUGGUGUGGCCAUCCAGAUUACAUUAAGUGUAGUGACCUUUUCGUUUUGCCUUUGAUCCUUCCUUAGAUUCUGUGAAGAUGACUGUGAUUUGGUAAAGAGAGCAGUUGAAUCACUCGUAUCAGAGUGUUGUGACACAAUUUGCUUCUGUGUCUCAAAUUGUUGAGCCAUUGAAUAAGCCUUAUUAAUUGAAGGCAGUGGAUCUAUCAACAAGAUCUAAUUGCGUACUGGCUCAAAUGCAUCAUUCAGACCCAUAAGAAACUACAUCAAUCUGCACCUAUUGUUUACGUCAGCAAUUUCCUUAGCUGCUCCACAAGUACAAGGCUGCAAAACAUCUAAAGAACUAAUUUCAUCCCAUAACUUCUUUAAUUUUGUGAAAAACAUAGUAAUUGAAUCAUUCUCUUGAGUAAUUAAUGAGAUCUUCCUCUGUAACUGAAAAAUCAGAGGCCCGUUUCUCUCACCAUAUCUCUCUGAUAUUUCUCCCCACAGCUCCUUAGAAGAUGUUGUGUAGACAAAUGCAUCAACCAACUCCUUGGAUAAAGAGUUCAAUAACCACGAAGUUACCAUGUAAUCAACCAUAGCCCUCAGAACCUUCGUCUGGAACUGGAAUUGUUCCAUGGAUAAAACCUAGCUUCUGUUUAGCCCCUAGCGCAAUCCUUAUGGCCCUUUGCCACGAUCGGAAAUUCUUUCCCACUAAAGGUGCUGAGACAAGAACCAUAUCUGGAUGAUCAGAUCCCAUCAAAUUCAUUGGAUCUCCACUGUUAUGAUUCUUGAUAACUUCUUGUAUUUGUGCUCUAGUACGAUCCUCCUCCAUUUUUCACUGAAAUUUUCUCAGCUGCAACAAAGAUUCUUAGAAAAUUUGCAGAACAAAAAUAACCUUCGCCUAGAUCUCCCGCUCUGAUACCAUGAAGAGUUUACUGAGAAAAUCGGAAGAGUCUACUUCUUUUCACUCACCUAGAAAACGAUCUUUAUAACAAUAUAUAUGAGUAGAUUAUAUGUGAAAAGUAAAAGAAAGAAAAGUCAACAAAGUCUUUAACAAACUAAAGAAUAAAUUAUCUGCUACAACUAACUCCAGCAUACAAAAAAUACAACGCUGCAACUAACUCACUCUACAUCCCCCCCUCC
rnacentral:misc_RNA from 1 species